rnacentral:lncRNA from 1 species
CAGUAAAAAAAAGAGUCAUUCACGUAUAUUUUUAUUGACCACAAACAUAUCCACUGAGUGUUCUAUUCUAUAUCACCAAAAUAGUAUAAAAUUAUAACUUUAUCAACAACCUUUAAAUAUAAACAUAUUCCAAACUCAAUCCUUAGAUACUAAACCUUAUUCCAAUCCCGACCAACCUCUAUACUAAAUCCUAAACUCUGGUCAGUAAACCCUAAACCAAAUCUAAACCAUAAACCUAAAUAUAAAGCAUAACUCCAAAUAUAAGCACAAAAUCCAAAUAGAAUUGAACAAAAUAAAUAACAUAAUACAUAUUUGUGAAAUUAUAAAAUAUCUAUAAUUGCAUGGAAGAUCCCACCCAACUUCUAUACUAAACCCUAAACUCUAAUCAGUAAACCCUAAACCAAAAUCUAAACCAUAAACCCAAAUAUAAACCAUAACUGCAAAUAUAAGCACAAAAUCCAAAUAGAAUUGAACAAAAUAAAUAACAUAGUACAUAUUUGUGAAAUUAUAAAAUAUCUAUAAUUGUAUAGAAGAAGUUAUUGUUGUGACCCCAACCAUACUCCUUCACUUUCUUAAUACUAAAUCCUAAACUUUAAUCACUAAACCUUUACCCAAAUAUAAAUCCUAAACCCAAAUAUAAACCCUAAACUCAAAUAAAAUGGAACAAGAUAAAUAACAUAAUACAUAUUGGUGAAAUUAUGAAAUAUCUAUGAUUGCAUGGAAGAAGUUAAUGCUAACCCUAACCAUACUCCCACCUUCUAAAUACUAAACCUUAACUCUAAUUACUAAACCCAAAC